rnacentral:rRNA from 1 species
UACGAAGGGGGCUAGCGUUGCUCGGAAUCACUGGGCGUAAAGGGUGCGUAGGCGGGUCUUUAAGUCAGGGGUGAAAUCCUGGAGCUCAACUCCAGAACUGCCUUUGAUACUGAGGAUCUUGAGUUCGGGAGAGGUGAGUGGAACUGCGAGUGUAGAGGUGAAAUUCGUAGAUAUCUGGAGGAACACCGGUGGCGAAGGCGGCAUCCUGGACCAACACUGACACUGAGGAGCGAAAGCCAGGGGAGCAAACGGG